rnacentral:lncRNA from 1 species
CUCUGUCACCAAGCUGGAAUGCAGUGGCACCUUCGCGGCUCACUGCAACCUCUACCUCCCAGGUUCAAGCGAUUCUCCUGUCUCAGCCUCCUGAGUAGCUGGGAUUACAGGCACCCACCACAAUCCAGGCUAAUUUUUGUAUUUUUAGCAGAGAUGGGGUUUCACCAUGUUGGCCAGGCUGGUCUCGAACUCCUGACCUCAGGUGAUCCACCUGCUUCAGCCUCCCAAAGUGCUGGGAUUACAGGCAUGAGCCACCGGGCCUGGGCCUGACGGUUUUAUAAAGGGGAGUUUCCUACACGAGCUCUCUUUGCCUGCUGCCAUGUAAGAUGUGACUUCACUCCUCAUUUGCCUUCUGCCAUGAUUGUGAGGCCUCCCCAGCCCCAUGCAGAACUGUGAGUCCCUGAAACCUCUCCUUUAUAAAUCACCCAGUCUCAGGUACGUCUUUAUUAGCAUGUGAGAACAGACUAAUACAUAUAGAAAAGGGGAAAAAAGUGUUUUUCUUCUUCACCACUGACAUCUGUGCUCUGUGGUGCUUGAGCACAAAAGAAAGAUCAUAACAACCUUGAACCUUUGGCUCUCAGUCCUGUGUGGUUUGAUAUUCUGACCAUCUGUAGUUAUUACUUAAAUAAUAUCUUUCAGUUUGGGCAAAAAAAAUCUAUUCAGUGCUUGGAAUAUGAUACUAUAAAUUAUUUAGAAUGUUUUAUCUUGCAUAGUGCUGCCUAGAAUUAAUGUCUGAGAAGAAUGGGAUGUUGGAUAUGUUUUUCUUAAAAAAGGUGGGACAUGAGGAUGUGAUUCCAUAAUCAAAGGACAGGGAUUAACUGAUAAGAUAUGUGAAUUUCCACACCUCAGAGAAGAAAGAGAUAGCUUUGGGGUGGCAAAUGAUAGAGCCGAUUAUCACUCUGAGAGGAAAGAGAGGAGUGGGGCUGUGUGCGUUUGCUAGACCAAGCUCUAACUGGCUUGCUGAGAAUGUUAUCUCCUAGCAGGACAGAAGGAAGCUAGAAGGGCUCAUCACAGCAAGUUUUUGAAAGAUCUUUUUCCUUCCCUCCCUAUGCAGUCCUCUCCAUGGUGGUUUUGGGACCCAAAUUGCCACUAGGGCAGGCUUAGCUUUCAAGCCUGGAGCAGAUGCCCAGGACGUCCAGGGCACCAACCUCUCCCAUCUGCAAUUACCCUCCUCCCCUUAUGAAAUACUCCCUUUUGUUUUGUUUUGUUUUGCUUUUCUUUUUGGAGUCAGUGUCUCACCCUUGCCCAGGGUGCAGUGCAGAGGCGCAAUCAUAGCUCACUGCAGCCUCAACAUCCCAGGCUCAAACAACUCUCCUGCCUCAGCUUCCUGAAUAGCUAGACUACAGGCACACGCUACCUGUAUGUGCCUGGCUAAUUUUUUAAUUUAAUAGAGACAGGGUCUCACCGUGUUGACCAGGCUGGUCUUGAACUCCUGAGUUCAAGCAACCCUCCCACCUUGACCUCCCAAAGUCCUGGGAUUCCAGACAUGAGCCACUGCACCUGGCCAAAAUACCCCUUUUUUCUAUCAGCAUCCGUAUCAAGCCUAUCUUAUCCAUUCCAUUUGUCCUCCCAUCUAAUUCCUUUCUUCCAUGGGGUCCUUUAGAACCUCCUGCUACUAUAAACAAAGUCACUAAGAGCUUAAGCUUGUCUCAGACACUCCCUGGCUCAUGCAAUUAACUGGAACCUGGAAUUUCCGUGAUAACAUCUCUUGCCUUUUUGUCCUCCACAAGAGAUCUCUCUUUAGACUGCUCUGCAUUUUAAAAGGUCUGGAAGGGAAGGGGUCAUGCUUCUUGUUUUUCUUAUGGCCUCUUCUGUAUUCCUGGGUCCCCCAAUUCUUGGCCUCUUCCUAUCACUUUUGCGCCUUCUUCACAAUACUCCUGCAACCCCUUCAUUUGUUCUGGGGGCUCCAAACACCACUUCUGGCAGGAUGACUUCAUUCACCAAACGGUGGCUACACACUUCCAACCCAACAGACCACAGACUGAAUUCUGUGACUUUCCCGUUUGUAAUAAUGAUACCAUCAUUCUACCGGUCUCUAGGGGCUAAAACUCUACUGGUCACCUUUGAUUCCUUCCUCUCUGUCAGUAAUAGCACCUACUCCUGUGUUUCUGCGAGGCUUACAUGAGAAAAGCCAGGUACAUCACUGAUCACACAGGGCGUGAUGCUGAGUAAGUGCUCCAUAAUGUAAGGCUUUAUUCGUUAAUAGAUUAUUGCUCACAGUGAAUCCACGAAGUAACCAAUCCCCAUUUCUCCCUCUUCAUGUCUCUCAAAACCACACACACCAUCCAUUCUUUCUGUUUCCCUUGCCAUGUUCCUUAUCAAAACACAUCAACUGCCAUCUGGACCAGGGAUAGGAACGCUAAGCCAGACUCCUUGUCUCCAAUCUCUUCUCCCACUUCCUAAUCCAUCUGGGAUACAAGAUCCAGAGAAAGCUAAUGAAAAACCACCUUAGUGAUGUCAUUCUGCUGCUCGGAAAUGUCAACACUUUCUUGAUGGCUCACCUGGAAACGAAGUUCUUCUCUUCUAGUGCCACACUCCAUUUCCAGGCCUGUCUCCAAAAACCAUGAUCCAGCCAGUCUAGAAUGCAAAACCUCUGAAAAGUCUUCCGCCUCUCCCACGUCCAUUCAUUUGCAGAUAACAUUGUCUCAGUCUGGAAAGUCCCCAUCCUCCACAGAUUGAAAUCGUUCUCAUCUUCUAAAGCUCCCCUCCUCUAUAGAGCCACUUUCUGUGUUUCUUCUGUCUGUUUCUCCCUUGAACCCCCACUGCCCCGACUUAUCUUCCUCUCAUAGAGCUUAUUUUUUUUUUUUUUUGCUCUUACUCGUCUUUCUUUUCCCAGUAGGACCUCAUGCAGUGCUUAUAAGUAGAAGUCACUCAAUACAUAUUCGUUGAGAAAACUGAAUAUCGUUCUCGCUUUUAGGUGAGAUGCAUGUCUCUAUUAUUUGAGAUGUAUGCUCUGGCUGAGGAGAUAAUAUGUGUGGGAUUUCUUUGGCUCAAUCUUCAUACUAUCUGACCCCUCUCCAAUACCCCAGCUUGUAUUUUUGCAGUAUAAUUUAAUGGCACAUCCUUCCUAAUCCUGCCAUUUUGCCUAAUUCCAAACUACCUUACUUUACUCACCCCGAAGCACUCCCAGCCUUGACCUCUUGUCCCAGUUUCCUAAAAUAUAACUGCUCUUGUACGGAAUGGUGCCGCUGGACUAAAACUCUGACGAGGAAUUGCUGUUCUUCAAGGUCUGGUCUGUAUCAGGGAGCCCACGCCCUGCAGUUAAAAGUGUCAUAAAAAUGGACUGAUAAGUAGCUAGAAGCAGAAUGCUGUGUCUACACAAAUUACACUGCAUUGCAGGGUACAGUUUGGAAGUUCAAGCAAGAAUUCUUUAUGAAAAUGAAUGAGCUUACCGUAGCUUGACUGAGGAUAUCAUAUACUUAACAGUCACUGGUAGAGCACUGCCUAAGAGUGUGGGUAUUUUAUGUGCAUCCCAGUGACUCCUUUGAAGUGUUUCUUGAUUCUUUUCAUUAGGCAAGAUGAAGUCGUCUCUAUGGCCAUGUUGCUGGCUUUUAAAAAGAUGCACAUUAUAUGUCAGCAACUACAGUAUAAUGCAUUUACUUUGUGUGAGCACAGCAAACCACUUAAGAACACACUUUAUUUUGUAGACACACUGAAUUUACCCUUCAAGUACUGCCCCAUGCCACAGAACUACAAGUCUUGCCACAUUAUGGCUUUCUCUUAUAAUUAUGCUCUUUAGCCUGUUCAUGUAUUAAGAAUAAAUUAGGGGCCGGGCGCGGUGGCUCACACCUGUAAUCCUAGCACUUUGGGAGGCCGAGGCAGGCAGAUAACUUGAGGUCAGGAGUUCAAGACCAGCCUGGCCCAACAUGGUGAAAUGCUGUCUCUACUAAAAAUAGAAAAAUUAGCAGGGCAUGGUGGUGGCCGCCUGCAAUCCCAGCUACUCAGGAGGCUGAGGCAGGAGAAUGGCUUGAACCCGGGGAGUGGAGGCUGCAGUGAGACAAGAUCUUGCCACUUCACUCCAGCCUGAUUGAAAGAUGAAACUCCAUCCCAGGAAAAAAAAAAAAAAGAAUAAGUUAGGUAAAGAGAAGAAAAUAAAGUGCAAAAGUAAGUGCUUCUUUUAUGUGUUCAGCACAGCCUUUAUUCUGUGAGGUCAAUGUCUCUCUUACAGAGGAAAGAAGUGAAACAUUUAGCCUGAAUCCUGAGAACCAGGAACUUCUCAAACAUCUUAGUUUGCCCUCUCCCAGUGUAAAUGAAUUGCACACUUUCUGAAGUCACUUUUGUAUUUCUCCAUUGCAGACCACUUUGUACCUACCUGUUUAAUCAACAUCUUCCCC